rnacentral:misc_RNA from 1 species
GAAAUGCGAUACGUAAUGUGAAUUGCAGGAUUCAGCGAAUCAUCAAAUUCUUGAACGCAAAUGGCGCUCUGCGGCUCGUCCGUGGAGCAUGUCUGUUUGAGUGUCAGUAACAUCCUCACAACCUCUCCAUGAGGGGGAGUGGAUUGAUGACGGUUGGCGGUCCUUAGCGACGUCAUCCGUUGAAGCACAGAGGAGUCCCGGCCCCAAUUAGCCGCGACGUGGUGAAGUAGGUCUUACGAUUUACACUACACCACUCGUGCCGAGGCACGUGGUCUCCUUGACAAGGGAAGCUGUCUGCGUGUUUACACGCUGGACUGUUUCUAACUACAACAAUGACCUCAAAUCAGGCAAGACUACCCGCCGAAUUUAA